rnacentral:rRNA from 1 species
UACGUAGGGUGCAAGCGUUGUCCGGAAUUAUUGGGCGUAAAGAGCUCGUAGGCGGUCUGUCGCGUCGGCUGUGAAAACUCGGGGCUCAACUCCGAGCUUGCAGUCGAUACGGGCAGACUAGAGUGAUGUAGGGGAGACUGGAAUUCCUGGUGUAGCGGUGAAAUGCGCAGAUAUCAGGAGGAACACCGAUGGCGAAGGCAGGUCUCUGGGCAUUAACUGACGCUGAGGAGCGAAAGCAUGGGGAGCGAACAGG